CAGCCAACCAGCCUGCAGCCCUGCCGCAGCCUUGUGCUUGAUGUGGCAGUUUAUUUUAAAAUAAAAAAACAUAAGUAGGAAAUGAAAUGCGUGAAAUAUGAAAAAUUAGAGAGUAAAAAUGAAAUGUGAAAUAUGAAGAGAGAGAGUUUGCAUCUUCUUCGUUGUGCAUCUUCUUCGUUUUGGGUCUAACUUCUCAUGAGCUUCUCCAAAGCUAUCUCUAAGGGUCUGUGGGAAGAAUAUUUUUUGCCAAAAUGUCAAUGAAAGUUGAGCUUGGGAGCAUCUCUUCAUGUUUGCGAAACCAGAGAGUGGGAGUUGAUCUCUAAGUCACAAUUGAAGUCUUGGGUAUCUCUAAGGUUUGCAUUCGCAUUGGAUGGUGAUGAUGUGAUUCAGUUUUUCAAAACCUAGGAACGUUGCUCAAGCCGAUGCUUCUAUUAAAUUUGGUAUGAUUUUUGUUAUUUUGACGGGAAAGAGAUCAAUUAACAUUGCUCCCAUAUUCAUAUCAAUUGAACACAAAGCUUAUUGGGCAAUCAAGCAAUUUAAUUUUGAUGUGGAUAAAGCUUGCUCUCUUUGUAAGUUUCAGCUUAAUGAGUUAGAGGAAAUCAGGA